rnacentral:rRNA from 1 species
ACUCUUGGCAACGGAUAUCUUGGCUCUCGCAUCGAUGAAGAACGUAGCAAAAUGCGAUAGCUGGUGUGAAUUGCAGAAUCCCGUGAACCAUCGAGUCUUUGAACGCAAGUUGCGCCUGAAGCCGUCAGGCCAAGGGCACGCCUGCCUGGGUGUCA